rnacentral:rRNA from 1 species
CAGCCGCCGCGGUAAUACCGGCGGCCCGAGUGGCGGUAACUAUUAUUGGGCUUAAAGCGUACGUGGCCGGGGUGGGAAGUCCUCCGGGGAAUCUGGCCGCUUAACGGUCAGAAUGCCGGAGGAUACUCCCAGCCUAGGGAGCGGGAGAGGCCGAGGGGAUUCCCGGAGGAGGGGGGAAAUCCUAUAAUCCCGGGAGGACCACCUGUGGCGAAGGCGCUCGGCUGGAACCCGUCCGACGGUGAGGGACGAAGGCCAGGGGAGCAAACCGGAUUAGAUACCCGGGUAGUCCUGGCUGUAAACGAUGCGGACUUUGUGUCGGACAAGCUAUGAGCUUGUCCGGUGCCGGAGGGAAACCGUUAAGUCCGCCGCCUGGGGAGUACGGCCGCAAGGCUGAAACUUAAAGGAAUUGGCGGG